rnacentral:lncRNA from 1 species
CCCGCAUCAUCGGCUUCUAGGUCAAGACCCAAAUCUUCCUGCAUCGACAACAUCAGAAUUGUGAGGGUUCAAUCUAGCUCGUCUGCUGUUUCAGCUUCUGAUGGGGGUCGAAAAAGCCAAACAAAUCAAGUCCUCAAAGAAAUAACUCAGAGCCUGUCAGAAAAAGCAAUUCUGAGCCUGCCGACCCCUCAAGUCGUCAACUUCUCUCCAUAAGAGGUACCAGCCG